AUGGCAAAAUGGGUGGAUGAUCUUCUGCAAAGGUAUUGCUCUGCUUCGGGUCAACGUAUAAAUAAAGAUAAAUCAUCUGUUUUCUUUAGCAAGGGCUAUGCUGAAGCCUUGAGACAGGAUAUCAAGAAUGUGUUGGAUGUUCCGAACGAGCAGCUCUCUGAGAAAUAUCUUGGUCUCCCCUCUGAUGUAGGCCGGGCUAAAGAGGGUGCUUUCAAGUAUUUGAAAGAUAGAAUCUGGAAGCAAAUUCAAGGUUGGAUGGAGAAAACUUUGUCCGUUGGGGGCAAAGAGGUGCUUAUUAAAUCCGUUGCCCAAGCCAUCCCUACCUACUCGAUGGCCUGUUUCAAACUGCCUAGAGGAUUAUGCCAACACAUUAACGGGCUGCUACGUAAGUUAUGGUGGGGCUCAAAAAAGGGAGAGAGAAAGACUGCCUGGGUCUCCUGGGAAGUCAUGACACAACCAAAGUUCAUGGGAGGAAUGGGGUUCAGAGAUAUCGAGCUUUUUAACCUUGCAUUACUGGCCAAGCAGGCCUGGCGCCUCCUGCAGGAACCCACCUCGUUGAGUGCGAGGAUCCUCAAGGUUGUCUACUACCCUUCUUCCACCACCCUUGAGGCAGAAGUGGGCAAUCAUCCUUCACAAGUUUGGCGAUCCAUAAUUGAAGGCAGAGACACUUUGAAGCUGGGACUUGUCAAACGGAUUGGUUCAGGAGAGGACACAAACAUAUGGACUGACAAUUGGAUUCCACGUGAUUUUAAGCUUCGGCCGGUUUGCCAAAAGUCCUUGAAUCCUCCUCACAAGGAUCGGACCUCAUUGAUUCCGUUAACAUGA
rnacentral:rRNA from 1 species